rnacentral:lncRNA from 1 species
GGCAGCAAGAAGCUUCUUCACUCCUGCACAGCAUGGCGGUGGAGGACUGGCAUUAUUAGGAGCUUGAAGAUAAGUAAGGCAUGGAGCCAAAUCACCGGAUACAGUUCCACAUGACAAAGCAGCUUCUGCCAUAAGCUUGAAGAUAAGUAAGGCAUGGAGCCAAAUCACCGGAUACAGUUCCACAUGACAAAGCAGCUUCUGCCAUAGGCGCAAUAACUACCAUGCACAUCACCAAAGCAACACAUGCUAAUUUCAUGCUUCUUGCCAUUUUUGUUUUCUUUGUUUUCUAUUCUUUUUCUUAGUUUGUUUGAAUGGUGUGUAAUGUCUUUGUGGGAGGGGGUUUAUAUAGAAAAUAAGAUAAGGUGUGAAGAUGAAUAGAGUGAUGAAUUUUUGGUGAAUGUGCAUCAAAAUUGGGUGGUAGUUGUGAGUUCAAUUAAUGAUGUAUGGUCCAUUAUCUAUAAUUAUUGGAAUUGGAUCUCUACAAUUUUUUCUUCUCAUGUCUUCUCUCAUGUGCAAUUAUGCAUGGUUGAAUCAAUCUAAUAGUUAAAAAAUAAUAAAGAUAAAAAAAUAUCAUUUAAAAAAAUAGAGAAACAUAUGUUUAAUUUUAUUUAAUUUUUUUUCAUUUAUAAUUAGAGAAUACAAAAUAUCAUCGAAAAGACGACAACACUCAUAUAAUUUGUUGUUUCAUACGCUGUUUUUUUUUCAUUUUAAUAUCUUUAUUAAAUAAAUAUUUUUAUUUGAUAAUAAUUAAAAUAUUUAUAUAUAUAUAUANNNNNNNNNNNNNNNNNNNNNNNNNNNNNNNNNNNNNNNNNNNNNNNNNNNNNNNNNNNNNNNNNNNNNNNNNNNNNNNNNNNNNNNNNNNNNNNNNNNNNNNNNNNNNNNNNNNNNNNNNNNNNNNNNNNNNNNNNNNNNNNNNNNNNNNNNNNNNNNNNNNNNNNNNNNNNNNNNNNNNNNNNNNNNNNNNNNNNNNNNNNNNNNNNNNNNNNNNNNNNNNNNNNNNNNNNNNNNNNNNNNNNNNNNNNNNNNNNNNNNNNNNNNNNNNNNNNNNNNNNNNNNNNNNNNNNNNNNNNNNNNNNNNNNNNNNNNNNNNNNNNNNNNNNNNNNNNNNNNNNNNNNNNNNNNNNNNNNNNNNNNNNNNNNNNNNNNNNNNNNNNNNNNNNNNNNNNNNNNNNNNNNNNNNNNNNNNNNNNNNNNNNNNNNNNNNNNNNNNNNNNNNNNNNNNNNNNNNNNNNNNNNNNNNNNNNNNNNNNNNNNNNNNNNNNNNNNNNNNNNNNNNNNNNNNNNNNNNNNNNNNNNNNNNNNNNNNNNNNNNNNNNNNNNNNNNNNNNNNNNNNNNNNNNNNNNNNNNNNNNNNNNNNNNNNNNNNNNNNNNNNNNNNNNNNNNNNNNNNNNNNNNNNNNNNNNNNNNNNNNNNNNNNNNNNNNNNNNNNNNNNNNNNNNNNNNNNNNNNNNNNNNNNNNNNNNNNNNNNNNNNNNNNNNNNNNNNNNNNNNNNNNNNNNNNNNNNNNNNNNNNNNNNNNNNNNNNNNNNNNNNNNNNNNNNNNNNNNNNNNNNNNNNNNNNNNNNNNNNNNNNNNNNNNNNNNNNNNNNNNNNNNNNNNNNNNNNNNNNNNNNNNNNNNNNNNNNNNNNNNNNNNNNNNNNNNNNNNNNNNNNNNNNNNNNNNNNNNNNNNNNNNNNNNNNNNNNNNNNNNNNNNNNNNNNNNNNNNNNNNNNNNNNNNNNNNNNNNNNNNNNNNNNNNNNNNNNNNNNNNNNNNNNNNUUAAUUUUUAUGGGUUUAAAAAUAAAAAUCAAAUUUAUUUCAAUAUCCAACUGAUGAAAUUAACUAACGGUAUAAAAUUCUUUUACAUUGUUAGUGUAUAUCAAUUAAGAGUGUUUAAUUGUAUUGUUUUUGUUGAAUUUCAAUAGUUAUUUCAACCGAUGCUGAAGCUUCUCAAGAUACAAUGUUUGUGUGUAGAAGUUGAAAGGAAAAUUUGAUCAUUGGUGGAUUCCAUAACAUCCGUAAUGGGAUAUAUCAAUUCUCUUUGAGGUCGGAAGCUGAAGAUUGUUCAUUAUAUAUGAAAAUUGUGAGUUGCAAGUUUGGAAUAAAUGGCAAGUUUAAUCAUCCCAUUAGAUGGAAAAAUCAUGUUAUUUUUUGUUAUGUUGGUUUCAAUUAAAAUUUGCUUUUCAUGUAUAUCUCUUUAGAUAUGACAUUCUUAAAAUUCAUGAUUUAAACUAUAUUUAUACUUACGAUAAUAACAGUUCCAUUCUGGUUGAACUGUUUGUGCCUCAGUUUAAUUUUGCAGUUCAAUGAGUUCAAUGACUUCCUUAACAACACUCUUGAUUUUAAAGAUAAUGUCAAAGAUAGAGGGAUGCUAUGGUGGACUAAGUUUAAAACUUUUAAAGAAAAUAGCAGAAAUUGAUUAUUUUCCAUGUAAUAAUAAAACAAAAUAUUUAAAAUAUUUUUUAGUUUAUGUGAUUAAUAUAGAUUUUUAUUUAUAUUUUAUUUAUUUAUAAACCUAUCAUUAUUAAAAAUUAUUAUACAUUAUUGAGUAAUCACAAUACUAUUUAUUAAGAGUUAUUAAGAAUCAUUAUUUUUUAUAAUUAUAUUUUUUAAUCUCUUAAUAAUACUAUUUUUUUAGACUAAUGUUAAUAUAUGCCCCAAAAACAUAAGUUAAUGACUUAUUUGUAAAAAUAUUCUCUUAGAAUACGUGCAUUUAAUUUUUUAAAAUUUAAAAUAUUAUUUUAUUUCACAUAAAUUUUUUAUUUGUAGUAUCCUUAACUUAUACCUGAAAGACACAAGUUAGCAAGACCCUAUUUUUUAAUUAUUAUAUAAUUAAUCUUAAUAAAUCUACUAUCAUAAUCAGAUAGUAGAUGACCACCAAUAAAUUAAAUCCAAACUUAAACUAAGUUAAUUGUAAGUUCCACUUACUUUAAUUGUUUUGUUUUUUUCAUUUAUAAAUAUUUUCAUUUACCAAUGCUUAUUAAAUGAAAAUAAUUUAAUUAAAUAUCUUAUUUAAUUGAAACAAUUCAAAUAUUAAAUAUAAAUAUAUUCACACAACUAAUUGCAAUAAUAACAUCUUCUAAUAAACACAAAUAUACAUGUUUUUACAUUUUCCCAAUGACUUAUGUUUGUUCUUUUAUCAUAACCUUUCCUUUUACCAAAUGCAAUAAAUGACCAUUGAUUAUGAGUGAGCAUCUUGAAAACAGUUCCCUCAAUAAACUUCUCCCUAUCCAAUAAAUCCUACGAAUAACAAGUAAUUUAAAAUGUUAAAAGUAUUUUUCUUUGCUUAUUAUUAACAAAUUCAUUAUUAUUAAUUAAUUAUAUUUUAACACGAUACUAUUUUAUUUUUAUCACAAGUUAUCUCUUUUAAUCACCAAUUAUCUCUUUUAUUUUCAAAUGUCAAAAUUUAUUUUCACGGGUCACUAUCAACACAAUACUAUUUUAUUUUAAUCUCAAAAUUUUAUGUAAUAACAAUUACAAAUGAAAGUUCAAAGUUAUGCUCAAGAUAUUGUAAUGGGUUGUUGUACACCUUCUUUCAAAUCUUCAACCUUCUUUUAUAGAGGUAUAAAAAGAGUUGUUUGGGGGGUUUGAACAUAAGAGAGCAAAUUCAGUGAAGAAACAUGCCAAGAGAGACGUUGGAGAAUGUAUAUGGUUAGAAGAAUUUUCCACUAAAUAAUGGAACUAUUCACAACACCUUUUGAAGUACUGGGUAUCUACCAAAAUGUAGAACAAACUAAAGAGGUUACAUCACCAUUCCUUGAGUCUUGUAAAAUGAAACCCUAGUUUACACUGUCUAGAAAUCUGGGCUUUGACACGACUAGUCUGCUUUGGUACAAUGUACGCAUCAGAGGCUUUUCAAGUCUUCAGAGUCUGAGCUGUCAGCAAAGGAUGGGACACAUGACCAAAGUCUAAACCUUCAGAGACUGAUCAACACACUAAGAGUUAUUAGAUUUUGAUCAAUCGAAAUCAGAGUUAUAUUGCUUCUCCACAUAUGCUUUCAACAUGAUUAAUUUAGAAUGAAUUCUUUGUUUGUGAUCCUGCACACUUGAACAUAUGUUAGUAUAUUCAUUUGUUCCUUAAAAACUUUGUUAUCAUCAAAAUCCAAGGGAUAUUAACAUUCUUGUUCCAACAAUCUCCCCAUUUUUGAUAAUGACAAACUAAUGUAUUUAAGAACAAUGGUGGUCAAUUUAACUAACUUGACAACAUCAGAGUUUAAGGUUUGUAAGCUCCCCUUGAGUCUAAUAGCCCAUAGGUUAAGUUUUGUAAGCUCCCCCUAAGUCAUAUCCAAGUUAAUUUAAAAUUAUUUUAAUAAAAUAAUGUUCAAAUCAAAUCAAUAUCCAAAUAAAUAAGGGUCAGGUAAAUUAAAAGCAUUUCGAAAAAAAUAACUUUAAUCCUUUUAAAUAUUCCCAUAAAUUUCUCCCCAUUUUUUCAUCAACAAAAUGUGAGAACAUACAUGUGAGUAUAGAAGAAAACAAAAAAAUAUUUUAGGAAUGGAAAAAUAUGUGGUAAAAAUUGAAUUCUGAUAACACAUAGCAAGAACAACCUUUGCUCUUCUCAAUAAAGAGAAACAACUAUAAUGGUUAGAAUAUUUCUGCAUUUCUCAAGAUGGUCACACGUCAUUCAAGAAUAUCAACCAUCAGAAGUAACCAUUGCAGGCAUUAAAUCAUCUGAAGUUUCAUCUUCCAAUUACAACAUACAAGUCACUCAACCUCUUCUAUAAAAGCAUACCUUCAUAGACAUACUUCUCAUUUUUUCAACCAAUUAUUCUUAUCUUCAUAACAACAUGAUUUAUCCAUCAGAGAAGACUAAGAGCAUUAUCUGAAUAAAGAUCAAUGAUGAGGGUAAAAUUGUUACUAUGGAACAACACCUUUAGCAGUCCACUGAGGAGGCCUAGCCAUCUAGGUCAGCUGCUAAAAGGGGUGCCCUAAUGUAAUACCUCAAAAUUUGUCCCCCUCAUUCAUGCAUUCAUUUUUAGAUCAUUUAACAUUUCAUAUUGCAUUGCAUCGUAUCAAUCAGAAUCAGAUCCAAGAAGUUUGAAUAUCAUCCGAGACACUUUGUGGGUUCUAAUUGGGUGAUCAGUCAACACAAGGGAAUGACUUGAGUUACUUCCAACAUGUUCAAAUGGAGUCUAUUCACCAUUCAAAACACUAAUCUCGAAGGAGCAAAAAGCAGAGCCUGAACUGUCAUGCUCGCUAGGCGAGCAGAUCCUUCGCUAGGCGAAGUGCACGCGUUUUGAAAUAUAACAGAAACGUUUUGGGCUUGAGUUGCCUUCAUUUUGAGCCCACAAAGUCACAAAAAUUAGGCUAUAUAUUCUAGACUUCCAUAUCCCAAAAGGACACCGGAGAGAAUUAGAAAAAACCCUGGAAAAGAAUAGUGAGAGAAGAGCUAACAGAGUUCAGAGCAGCCCCAGAGACUGAAAGGAACUCAUCUGCAAAGAGCCAAUUCCAUCUCAUAUAAACCCUCAGAUUACUUUGCAAACCCAACCGGGCAAUUCAAUUUCAUUCGAUCCCUCCAAUCAGGUUUGCCCUAUUUCCAUUACUAUAUGCUUUCAAUUUGAAUGCUCUGAAUGUAUGAGGUAUUAUCGUUAGACUUUGCCCACGGGUUUAAAUAUGCAUGAAUGUGUAAACAAUACCUUGAAUGUUUAAUCGUUUCGUUUCUGAUGGAUACCAUAGGGUUUGGGUUGCCGAGAUCGAACUAUUAUCAAUGAAGAACCCAAAACCCGCAGGCGUUCGCUAGCACCUUCGCUAAGCCUUCGCUAGGCGAAGCAGUAGCGAGCGUGACAACAUUUGUUUUUUUUUCUGUUUUCUCUAAUCCGUUUUGUGUUCGUCAUGGCAUGUUUUCUCCUGAUUACCCCAUCGUGUUUCUCUAACCUGUUUGUUGAGUUUUUGUGAGGGCUCACAUGCUCUUGCAGGGAUAGCUUGCUUGGUAUUCCACUUUAUUUGUGGGAUACCACUUGGAGGUUUAUUCCGAUUACCUAUGCUGACUUGCUUUCUUUGAUGGUGCCAGCUUGAGAGAUCUCCGGGUUUCUUGUCUCUUUAGUUGCUGUUACUUCGGAUCUUUAUCCGUGUGGUACUUUUACAUCUUUCCCGCAUUUUACCGCUUUCUUAGCUGGAAGACCUCAAUAGGAGGNUCCCUGCAAUUCAGAGUUUGCCUCAUUUCCAUCUACUAUAUGCUUUCAAUUUGAAUCUCAUGAACUGUUCAUGCUUAUUGUAUUAUUCGUUAGACUUUGCCCACCGGUUAAAUAUGCAUGAAUAUGUUAAACAAUACCUUGAAUGUUAAUCGUUUCGUUUCUGCAUGGGAUAUCACAUAGCGGUUUGGGUUGCCGAGAUCGAACUAUUUAUCAAUGAAAGUGAACCCAAACGCCGACAGGCGUUCGCUAGCACCUUCGCCUAAGCCCUUCGCUAGGCGAAGCGCAAGCGUAGCCGAGCGCUGACAACAUGCUUUGUUUUUUUUCUGUUAUUCUCUAAUCCGUUUAGUGUUUCGUUCAUGGAUGUUUCUUUGCCCUGUCAAUCCUAAACCCCAUCGCCUGUUUCUCUUAAUCCUUGUAUGUUCGAUUUUAGUGGUCUCUCGAGGAAUGCGACAUGUGUUCAUAUGCAGGCAAUGCGAAAUUUAGUCAUUGCCUUUGGCUAUAUCAUUUAUUUGUGGGCAUUACUACUUGUGACUGUUCUACCUCAAAAACGGCAUUACCUGAUUGUCCUACAAUGACCUUGCUUUCUUUUUAUAGCGACUGCAAAGCCUUUGCACGAGAUGCGUCCGGACGUAAUUGCUUAGAGUGUUCUUCCUCUUUUAGUUGCCUGUUAUACGUCGGUAUCUUUGAUGCCGAUGUCGAUUUACUUUUACAUUCUUUCCCGAUUUUACGUCUUGUCCUUAACUGAGGAAAGUGACGCCUCCAAUAGAGCAAUAAUUUCUUAUUUUUUUGUUUUGCUUAUCCUCCUUAUGUGCAACAUAAGAUCUGCCAUGCCAGAAUUGCGAAAGUGGGACGUAUACAAUAUAGUGAAGGAUUAUUAAUCAUCCCCCGUUAUCUCAGCCUUGUGUCGCUUUUUCUAUUUAGAAUGCUUCAGACAACUACGUGUCGAUGCUCAGAACAAAAGCCCAAGAUUUUGUUCUAACAAUCCGGGUUACUUAGGCUCAGUCGUGGAUGUAGUGUCUGGCUUUCCCAACUGUUCUGAAUCCCCGAACACCUUUAUAGUCAUGCAGCUCACCGUAUCGCUCUAUGUUAAGAGCUAUGAGGUCUUAUGCUCACUUACACCGUUUUGAAUCUGCUCCCUAGACGUUCGCAAUGUCAGGUGGUUCAGAACGGCCAUUUGAUGUACUAUUCCAUGGCUGUUGCGAGGUUGAUAUGACCCGUUUUCGCUAGGAUCUAAUAGCCACUAUACCUCAUGUACUCGUUUCCUCUGUGGCCCGGUGUUGGCGUUGUCUUGAUUGCCAUAUUUUUUGGGCAUGGUGUGAUCGUCUUCCCCAUUAUGGAUUUGCUAGGGCUUCGAUUAGUGAUGGCUUCUCGUUGCGGCCCAUGUCAAUUUAUACAUGUGAGUAAGGAAUUCACCACCUGUUCCAUUGUUCUUAGGACCUUCUCCUUUAUUAUGUCACAUGAAGCAUUCCUACACUAGACUCCAACAAACAGACAAAGGCUCAUUUGAUAUUUCCCAUUAUUAUCCUACCUUAUAAGAACACUCAUUGUAGUAAUAUCCUUCUAUACUAGCAGGAUGACGAAGUAUAGCUUUCUCAAAGGUCGGAACGACACACCGGUUAGUAAAUCUUGACGUUAGUAAUGUCUCGUGUCUUGUCCAUUCUCAAAAAAACACUAAAGCCCACUUACCCGUAGUAGGGUGUCUGACCGAACUACGGCUUGCUCUGAUUCUCAUUCCAUGAGGCUCGAGAUACGUAGGCAUAAGAACGCGAUGGUGUCUUUAGCGAGCUUCACUUAACCCACUAGGUAAGCCAGCUUACGAAGACUCUGAUUGCUCAUGUUCAGAUGCAGCCAUACGAUGCGCAGUGUAUGCGACAUCCAAGUUGUCGCAUCGAUUAUAUUCAUAAUUGCCCCCCUUUUUAGUAAAUAGUUAACAUUACGAUAACCUACACUCUUUAGACAAGAACAACAAAGUGGAUCCUUAGGAUACUCGCGCCGGUCCAGGGGUGCUAAAUAUCCGUUCCUUAACGCAUAGAUCGAGCUCGCCGGAAACCCAAGAUUGAAGGUUGACGCGAGACAACCUUGUCUUUUCUGUUUGCUUCUUGUUCUAGGUUCAUUACACUCUUGAGUCGUCUUUUCCUCCUUUGAGUAUGAAAAUAACGACUUCCUUAGAGGUGUGCGCACAUACUUCUGUUCAUCAUCUUUACGUACGCCGGUUGAUAUUUUUUUCUGACCAUUUCUACCUUCUUCUUAUUCACAGUUGCGACGUAGGCGUGGCAGAUAAUUCGCGCUUGAGGGGACUACUCUUCCCUAGGAAGAAUCCCGGCUUCCUAGUCGUUUUGUUUGAUCGUGGGGUUUUUUUUUUUAUUAUCUAUUUCAUAUUAUCAUAAUUCUUUAUCAAUGUUAUGGUCAACCAAAGCUAAUCCAUAAAAAAUGUUUUUUUUGGGGGCGGACCGGGAAGGAGUGGGGGGGGGUCAGGCGUCAGGAGGGGGCGGGCGGGGGUGGGGCGACACUACGCCCGGGGCGCUGUGUUCCUAAUAAUUUGGUUUUUUGUUCGCCCACCGCCCCAGUUGGCUCGGUGUUAUUUAUUUAUGCUUUGCAUACUUAUCUGGUGUGUUGCAUCCUAUUGCGCUUUUACUGUCGUGUGUAGUGUGCUGGCUGUGUUUGUGUGUUGUCCCUGUCGGUGUUGGGGUCACAGAGGCUAAAGGCCCAAUACACAGGCCUAUCAGGGACUUUAGGACAUCUAGGAUAGAGUGAUACAUGGGAACGCGGAGUUAUGGCCGCCAAGCGCGAACAUGGUAUCAAGCAGCCAGUUCAAAUUCUGAUGGGUUUAUCGUUGCAUACCACCUGGGUAUGCAUAUGUCAGUAUUCUUGAAAGGAUUGUUUAUCCUACGUUCUCUUGACUCUUACCCUGCGCCUAGAUUACACCCGUGAGUGGGGCGGGAUGAAUCAUUUUACAGGUACUGAUGGGACUUGUUCUGUUGGUGCCGUCUCGCUGAUAGUGAUUUUGUGUGGGUCCUUGUGGUGACCGUUACGCUUCUCGAAGUAUGGGUUGCUAAAUUGAAUGACUGUGUUCUUGUUCCCGGUUCGAAUCAUGCUGAAGUUCUGAUCUGUGCCUCGUGAUAUACAACCAACCGUUUUCUGGAGCCAAAGUUUUGAUCUACGUAGUACAUUCUUCAGUGGGUUUCUCUUCAGACAGUGCAACCCAACAGAUAUUCAAGCAGAUACAACAACCUUGAUUUGCAUGUCACUGCAUUGCAUCACAUCAUUCGCAUUCAUAUCAUUCACACAUGUUUAUCCAUUUAUGUGGGGUUUAUAUCCUCUUCUUGAUUCUAGUCGGGGUUUUUCUGGUACUUUUUAAAAGGGAUAUUUUAUCUGAUGAAAGACUGGAAUCAAGGGGGUAGAAUACCUGUGGAACUGAUAAACAUGUCAUUGCAUUUGCAUAUUCAUUAGCAUGUCUUGCAUAACAGGUACCGUCGCAGUGUUCUCAGUUUGUUAGGUAUUCCACUGGUAGGAUAGUUGACUUAGGCAUUCACUGAUACGGUACCCGAAGGAAUCAACGAUGAAGAUGGGGAUAGUGAUUGCGACAUCGAUAACUGGUUGCGUCUGAGGAUCCCGGGUGAAGUUCUCCGCAACUGGUCUUCUGAAGAGAUUAUCCAAGUCACUCUUCUUGAAGAGUAAUUUUCUUUGUUUAUUCAUGCAUAUCCAAGUCUUACGUUCCGCCCAGAGCGUAAUGACUCAUUGUAGGGCUCAUCUAUGCGAAUACCUGCAUUUUUUAUCAUCAAUAAAGGACGUCUUUUUGCAUUCAAAUAUUUCGUUCACUGUUUUCCAUUUUUGCAGUUUUCAAAAAUCAAAAAAUAUUUGGCAAUGUUUUGUUUAGUUUUCAUUUUUUCACACUCAUAAGCACAUACCAUCACUCAUGCAGAUGCGCAUCACCGGAUCCUAUUGAUAACGAUUCUGCUAUGGCUCGCUUCGACUUUGAAAAUCCAAUCUUUCAAGCUGAAGAAGGGGGUGAUGAAGACUGUGAACUCCCUGAAGAACUUACCAGGCUAUUAAAACAGGAAGAAAGGGUCAUUCAACCGCAUCAAGAGUCUGUGGAAGUGAUUAAUCUCGACACCGAGGACGUCAAGAGAGAAAUCAAGAUAGGGGCGUCUUUGGAAGAUAAUGUGAAGAAGGGGUUGAUUGAAUUGCUGCAAGAGUAUGUUGACAUCUUUGCUUGGUCUUAUCAGGACAUGCCAGGGCUUGACAUAGAUAUUGUGGUACACCGUUUGCCUCUCAAAGAAGGUUGUCCUCCGGUCAAGCAGAAGCUAAGAAGAACAAGACCAGAGAUGGCUGUCAAGAUAAAGGAAGAAGUGCAGAAACAGUUGGAUGCAGGGUUCCUAGAAAUGCAAACAUUGUUCUAGUACCUAAGAAGGAUGGAAAGGUACGGAUGUGUGUCGACUACCGGGAUCUGAACAGAGCUAGCCCUAAAGAUGAUUUCCCAUUACCUCACAUCGAUGUUUUGAUAAAGAACACAACUCAGUUCUCGGUAUUCUCCUUCAUGGAUGGCUUUUCUGGCUAUAAUCAAAUUAAGAUGGCACCAGAAGACAUGGAGAAGACAACUUUCAUAACCCCAUGGGGCACCUUCUGCUACAAGGUGAUGCCGUUUGGUCUGAAAAAUGCCGGAGCAACAUAUCAGCGAGCGAUGGUGACUCUGUUCCAUGAUAUGAUUCAUCAUGAAAUCGAGGUUUAUGUGGACGAUAUGAUUGCCAAAUCUCAGACAGAAGAAGAACAUUUGGUGAAUUUGCAGAAACUGUUUGAGCGUUUGAGGAAAUUCAAACUGAGACUUAAUCCGAACAAGUGCACUUUCGGGGUGAGAUCGGGAAAAUUGUUGGGUUUUAUUGUUAGCGGAAAAGGGAUUGAGGUGGAUCCUGACAAAGUGAAAGCAAUACAGGAAAUGCCUGAGCCAAGAACAGAGAAGCAAGUCCGUAGUUUCUUAGGGAGGUUGAACUACAUUGCAAGGUUCAUCUCUCACCUAACAGCCACGUGUGAGCCAAUAUUCAAAUUGUUGAGAAAAGAUCAGGCUAUCAGGUGGAAUGAUGAUUGUCAAAGGGCGUUCGAGAAGAUAAAAGAGUAUUUGCAGAAUCCUCCUAUCCUUGUGCCUCCGGUCCCAGGGAGACCGCUGAUUAUGUAUUUGACAGUACUAGACAAUUCCAUGGGUUGUGUUCUCGGUCAACACGACGAGACAGGUAGGAAAGAGCAUGCCAUCUACUACCUGAGUAAGAAAUUCACAGAUUGCGAGUCGAGAUACUCAAUGCUUGAAAAAACAUGUUGUGCACUUGCAUGGGCUGCUAAGCGAUUGAGACAAUACAUGCUGUCUCACACAACCUUACUGAUCUCCAAGAUGGAUCCAGUCAAGUAUAUAUUUGAGAAGCCAGCUCUCACCGGAAGAGUUGCUCGUUGGCAAAUGGUACUGACAGAGUACGACAUCCAGUAUACAUCCCAGAAAGCCAUCAAGGGGAGUAUUCUGUCAGACUAUCUUGCUCAACAGCCGGUUGAAGAUUAUGAGCCGAUGAAGUUUGAUUUUCCAGAUGAAGACAUCAUGUUCCUCAAGAUGAAAGACUGUGAAGAGCCAGUUGUUGAGGAGGGACCUGAUCCAGACGAAAAGUGGACUUUAAUGUUUGAUGGGGCCGUCAAUGCCAAAGGAAGUGGAAUUGGUGUUGUCAUUACCACUCCGAAAGGUGCCCACAUGCCUUUCACCGCUCGUCUGACUUUUGAGUGCACCAAUAAUGAAGCUGAGUAUGAAGCCUGUAUCUUGGGUAUUGAGCAAGCCAUUGAUUUGAGAAUCAAGACUUUGGACAUCUUCGGAGAUUCAGCUCUGGUAAUCAAUCAAGUGAAUGGUGAUUGGAACACUCUCCAGCCUACUCUGGUCCCCUACAGAGAUUACACGAGAAGACUGUUGACUUUCUUCACAACAGUAAAGCUGUACCAUAUACCUCGUGAUGAGAACCAGAUGGCAGAUGCUCUUGCUACUCUAUCCUCCAUGAUCAAGGUGAUCCGUUGGAACCAUGCUCCCAAGAUCGACGUGAUGCGCCUUGAUAGGGCCGCGUAUGUGUUUGCUGCUGAACUGGUAGUUGAUGACAAGCCCUGGUAUCACGACAUCAAGUGCUUUCUGAAGAAUCAAGAGUACCCUGCAGGGGCAUCCAACAAUGAUAGAAAGACUUUGAGAAGAUUGGCAGGCAGUUUCUUCUUGAACAAAGACGAUGUGCUGUAUAAGAGGAACUUCGACAUGGUUUUGCUCAGAUGCGUGGACAGACACGAAGCAGACAUGUUAAUGCAGGAAGUUCAUGAAGGCUCCUUCGGUACUCAUGCCGGCGGACAUGCAAUGGCUAAGAAAUUGUUGAGAGCGGGAUAUUACUGGAUGAUCAUGGAAUCUGAUUGUUUCAAAUAUGCUCGGAAGUGCCAUAAAUGCCAGAUUUAUGCUGAUAAGGUACAUGUGCCGCCAAAUCCUUUGAAUGUGAUGUUUUCGCCGUGGCCUUUUGCUAUGUGGGGCAUCGAUAUGAUUGAAAAGAUUGAGCCGACCGCCUCCAAUGGGCACCGCUUCAUCCUUGUUGCCAUCGACUAUUUCACCAAGUGGGUCGAAGCAGCAUCAUUCGCGAAUGUCACCAGACAUGUGGUCGCCCGAUUCAUCAAGAAAGAAAUCAUUUGUCGCUUUGGGAUUCCCGAAAGAACCAUUACUGAUAAUGGUUAUAAUCUCAACAACAAAAUGAUGAAGGAGUUGUGCCAGAACUUCAACAUUCGGCAUCACAAUUCUUCCCCUUACCGCCCUAAGAUGAACGAUGUUGUUGAGGCGGCAAAUAAGAACAUAAAGAAGAUCGUGUAGAAGAUGGUCGUUACAUACAGAGAUUGGCAUGAGAUGCUACCCUUCGCCUUGCAUGGGUACCGUACUUCAGUACGUACGUCGACCGGGGAAACCCCUUACUCCCUCGUGUAUGGUAUGGAAGCAAUCCUACCUGUUGAAGUGGAGAUUCCUUCUCUAAGAGUCCUGUUGGAUGUCAAGUUGGACGAAGUUGAAUGGAUUCGAACAAGGUUCAAUAAGUUGAGUCUUAUCAAAGAGAAGCGAAUGGCAGCCAUUUGUCAUGGGCAGUUGUAUCAGAGUCGGAUGAAGAGAGCCUUUGAUCGAAAAGUGCAUCCUCGGUGUUUACAAGUUGGAGAGUUAGUGUUGAAAAUGAUCCUUCCUCCUCAAACAGAUCACAGGGGCAAGUGGACUCCUAACUAUGAUGGACCGUAUAUUGUCACCAAGAUUUUUGAUGGUGGAGCCUUAAUGCUUGCAACGAUGGAUGGUGAAAACUUCACUUCCCCUGUGAACUCAGACGCAGUUAAAAAAUACUUCGCAUAAAAUAGACCCGCUGGACAGUAAAAAGAAUAGUCCAGGCAAAAAAUGGGCACCGAGAACAAGAAAUGAAAAGUUCGAGCAAAAUUAGGGAUUAAAAUAAAAGAUCGACACCGGUAAGUGAAAACCUGAAAAGGCACUUAGGCAAAGUACCGGUGGAUUGAAAACCCGAAAGGGAUCAGCAAAAGUUAGGGAUUAAGAAUGACUGCGUUCUGAGUAGUUUCUGAAAUCUCAUCUCGUGAAUGACUGAACUUUUGAGGAUAGGAAACAUAAUAUCUUUUAUAAGCUGAUAUAUUGAGAUCUUGAAGCGACAAGUAUAGCUAGAUGGAACCCAUAGAAUCAUUUACAUUGAUUAGAUUAAUUUUGUUUUAUCUUUUGUCGAUACUUUCAGGGAUGGCAUUCUGAUUAAAUGCUAUUUAGAGCGCAGUCAAUCAAUAAAUCAUGUCAUUCAGUACAUACUGUGUCCAUUUUCAUUUUAUGUUUCUGUUGUGCCAAAAAUGACGUGAAUUUUGAUAACUAUUGCAUACAUGAAACAUAAGAGCUUAAGGUACAGAUGCUUAAUAGAACAUUUAAAUUUCUGUAAAUUCUAAAGUGCUUCGGAAUAUCUAUACAUCAACUCGGGGCAUUACUUAGUUCCAUCGAUGAUGCGACAGUUUUCCCCUAACAGUCGAAGUUGGUAUUUGCCCUGCAGAAUGAUCAGAGCAUUGGAUUCUUCGAUCCCCAAGGGCCUCACUGUUGUACCUCCCCCAAGCGGUUGUUCAGAAUAUACAUCCCAGUAGUUUGACGGUGCCCAGAAUAUAUAUCCCCAGCGAUUGAACAGUGCCAGACUGUAUCUUGCACGAGAGCGGCUGUCCUGCAGGGUUCGAUGCCAGAUCGAUGAUCUCGACGCCAGAUCCAUGGUCUCUUUUCUUGAAGCAGAAUCUCGGUACCGUAUCGGUGUUGCUCCCCUGCUAAGGGUUCUCUCUCGGCAAUUAUUGGUUUGCCAGAACAUUACGCUUCCCCAACAGCAGGUUUUCAGUGCCCGUUCUCUCCUAGUUCAGAGUCUUGGUAUUCACAUUGCUAGAACUACUGUGUGGCGGAUAUUUCCAAGAGUUCUUGUGCUAGCAUCUCCAACAGCGCUCUGUCAGGGCAGGAAGUGGUGAUCAUUUCCCCGCAGAUUCCCUUGCUCAGCUUGGCAUUCUACAAGUAUUUACCAUCCUUGCAUGUAGAUCAAAUUGCAUUUUGCAUCUCCCAAAUCGGUAGAUUUCAUUUUCCAUGGAGCAUUACGCCAUUUGAGAAAAAUUCAAAACGCAUGUAAGCAUAAAACAUUCGUAUGCCCAAGUGAUAAGCCAGAAGUUGUUUCCAGUACUCAGACUGAAGAUUGUUCAUGACUUACCUUUAUUAUCCCCAGCAAGUGUCAUUGGCCCAUGCGCCGCCUCUAUUAUCUUUCCCUAUUUAUGCCGAUGCCGACAGGCAUGAAGUUUCCGAUAUUCAGACCGAAGUGGCGUUCAGGCCAAGUUUCCGGUAUUCAGACCGAAGUGACGUUCAAGCCAGUUUUCCGAUAUUCAGAUCGAAGAAGUUUCUGACGUUCAGGCCAGUUUUCCGAUGUUCAGAUCGAAAAAGUUUCCGACGUUCAAGUCGAUGCAACUUGUGGCAUUCAGGCCAAUUUUCCGAUAUUCAGAUCGAAGUGGCAUUCAGGCCAAUUUUCCGAUAUUCAGAUCGAAGUGGCAUUCAGGCCAAUUUUCCGAUAUUUAGAUCGAAGUGGCAUUCAGGCCAGUUUUCCGAUGUUCAGAUCGAAGCUGUUUCCGACAUUCAGGUCGACGCAACUUGUGGCAUUCAGGCCAGCCUCUCGGUGUUCAGACCGAUAUUAUCAACCUCAUAUCUUCCAAUGUUCAGAUCAAAGUCAUUUCCAGUAUUCAGACUGAUGAGCGGCAUUCAAGCCAUGGUUAUUUCUGUGUUACCAUUUAUUUUGGUAUCCAGGUUAACAUUCUUUUUCGGUAUUCAGACUGACUCUCCACCGUUACCAGACGGAUUCUUCUUUCAAGACCACCUCUUUGCGAUUCUGACAGGCAUUGUUACUUCACUUCACUUCAGUGCAAAUUUUCGGGCUUUUAUUGUAUUCAAUCCCUUGAUACCUCGAAAGUGCGAAAGCCGCUGCUAUCUUCUUUUCGGGUCUCCAGUUGAUUGAAUAGGGGCAACUGUAAUACCUCAAAAUUUGCCCCCCUCAUUCAUGCAUUCAUUUUUAGAUCAUUUAACAUUUCAUAUUGCAUUGCAUCGUAUCAAUCAGAAUCAGAUCCAAGAAGCUUGAAUAUCAUCCGAGACACUUUGUGGGUUCUAAUUGGGUGAUCAGUCAACACAAGGGAAUGACUUGAGUUACUUCCAACAUGUUCAAAUGGGGUCUAUUCACCAUUCAAAAUGCUAAUCUCGAAGGAGCAAAAAGCAGAGCCUGAGCUAUCAUGCUCGCUAGGCGAGCAGCAUGGUUCGCUAAGCGAAGCUGAACUGUCAUGCUCGCUAGGCGAGCAGAUCCUUCGCUAGGCGAAGUGCACGCGUUUUGAAAUAUAACAGAAAAGUUUUGGGCUUGAGUUGCCUUCAUUUUGAGCCCACAAAGUCACAAAAAUUAGGCUAUAUAUUCUAGACUUCCAUAUCCCAAAAGGACACCGGAGAGAAUUAGAAAAAACCCUGGAAAAGAAUAGUGAGAGAAGAGCUAACAGAGUUUAGAGCAGCCCCAGAGACUGAAAGAAACUCAUCUGCAAAGAGCCAAUUCCAUCUCAUAUAAACCCUCAGAUUACUUUGCAAACCCAACCGGGCAAUUUAAUUUCAUUCGAUCCCUCCGAUCAGGUUUGCCCUAUUUCCAUUACUAUAUGCUUUCAAUUUGAAUGCUCUGAAUGUAUAAGGUAUUAUCGUUAGACUUUGCCCACGGGUUUAGAUAUGCAUGAAUAUGUAAACAUUACCUUGAAUGUUUAAUCGUUUCGUUUCUGAGGGAUAUCAUAGGGUUUGGGUUGCCGAGAUCGAACUGUUAUCAAUGAAGAACCCAAAACCCGCAGGCGUUCGCUAGCACCUUCGCUAGGAGAGCCUGCAGCGAAGCUUCGCUAAGCCUUCGCUAGGCGAAGCAGUAGUGAGCGUGACAGCAUUUUUUUUGUUUUUUGUUUGCUCUAAUCUGUUUUGUGUUCGUCAUGGCAUGUUUUCUCCUGAUUACCCCAUCGUGUUUCUCUAACCUGUUUGUUGAGUUUUUGUGAGGGCUCACAUGCUCUUGCAGGGAUAGCUUGCUUGGUAUUCCACUUUAUUUGUGGGAUACCACUUGGAGGUUUAUUCCGAUUACCUGUGCUGACUUGCUUUCUUUGAUGGUGCCAGCUUGAGAGAUCUCCGGGUUUCUUGUCUCUUUAGUCGCUGUUACUUCGGAUCUUUAUCCGUAUGGUACUUUUACAUCUUUCCCACAUUUUACCGCUUUCUUAGCUGGAAGACCUCAAUAGGAGGCAAUGUUUUCUUUUGUUUGUUUACUUUUGUGCCCAAAGACCUCCAUGCAGAGGAAAUUGACGGAUAAAAGGGAUUAUUAAUCAUUCCCCCGUUAUUCAGUGUGUCGUUCUUUAUGCUCACACUACGUGUCGACGCUUCAGAACAAAAGCCCAAGAUCUUUUGUCCGGUCAGUCAGUGGAUAGGGUUCCACCUUUCUGAAUCCCCACUUUUUGUCAUGAGCUCACCCUGUCCAGGGUUAAGAGCUAUGAGGUCUUAUCCUCAUUAUCCUUUUGAUCUGCUCACCCUGACGUUCAACGUCAGUGGUUAAGAGCCCAUUUGAUUACCUAUUCCAUGGCUUGUUUGUCGAGGUUGAUACGACCCCUCUUGACUAAAGCCCUACCCAUGUAUGUUUGAGCCCCCUUGUUGGCGUGUUUGCUUUAUGCAUAUUUAUUUUGUAUGGUGUGAUCGUCUCCCGAUAGGAUUGCUUGGCUUUGUAUAGUCUCUCGUUGCAUGUUAAUUAAGGUAGCAUUGUUCCUUCGUUUAUGACUUCCUUUUUGCAUGAGCAUUCCUAAAACACAAACAAACUCAUUGAUUUUUCUUCUCCUAAGAACACGUUAACUCCUUCUACUACAGGCGAGUAAGUAUCCAAAGGUCGAGCAUCCGGUAGAUUGCAUAGUAACGUCGUUCAUCUAAAAAACACAAUCCUUAACCCGUAGGUAGCCGAACUACGGCUUGCUCUGAUUCUCAUUCCAGAUGAGAUACGUAGGCAUAAGACGCGAUGUCUUAGCGAGCACACUCCUCUUUAACCCAUAGGUAGAGCUACGAAGACUCUGAUUCUCAUGUUCAGAUGAGAUACGUAUGCAGUGGAUGCGACAUCCGUGCGAGUCAUUUUCUUUUGACCCCCCUUUUAGUAAAUAGUACAUUAGAUAAACCUACACCCUUUAGACAAGAACAACAAAAGUGGAUCCCGUAGAGUACUAUGGAUGCGUAGGGGUGCUAAUACCUUCCCUUCCCAUAAUCGGCUCCCGAACCCAAGAUUUGGUUGCGAGACCUUGUCUUUUCCUUUCCUCUUUUCAGGUUUACUUCGAGCAUUUCCUUUCCCUCCUUUGGGAUAAAUAACCCACGGUGGCGACUCUUCUGUCAUCUCUUUUCUCGUCGGUUGUUUUUUUCGCAUUCCUUUUUUCAGGUUGCGACACCUAAGAGUAAGGAAGCCUGAGAAGAAGAAGAAGAAGAAGAUGAAGAAGAAAAAGAAAAGAGUUCCAAGAAGGAUGUUUUUCUACGACUCAGAUGAAGGAAGUGAGGAGCGUGUUGCUGACUAGGAGGAUUCUUUUGUAGCUAGGGAUUAUUGUUCUGAUCUGGACAAACUUAUGUAACCUCAAAAAUAUUGUACUCUUUCCAAAUGAUUAAUGGAAAAAAUUCCCUUUUUGCAAUGAUUUUUCUAAUUAAUUGUUUCAUUUGAAUGCGUUAAUCGUUCAAGAGAUAUUCAAAAAUAAUUAAUCCAAAGAAUAAUACAAAGAAAGCAAGGAUUAUUUCUAACAAUUAUCAGAUAAGGAAUAAUAUUUCCCAUAAAAUAUAGCUUAGAGAAAAUCACAUAAGCAUAAAAAAUAUAUCAUGUUGUCAUACCCUAAUUUUUAACCCUAAGAUCCCACAUAUCAUUUGCAUCCUUGUAUAUAAACAAGAUCACAUCUUUGUCCCCUCCCUCUCAUCCUUUGGGUUUGCCUUUUGUAAGGAUCAUCAAGCACCUAUUUGUUGGUGUUUUACCUUUGUGCUUAUAUAUUCAUUACUUAUUUAACCACUAAUCAAAAUAGCAAAAAAAAUAUGUCUUGUUUCCUUUAAAUUUAUUGUGCAAGGUAAGACUUUUCAUUAAGAGCAUCAAGCAUGACUCCUCAGCUUGGGUUUUGUUGAUUCCUCGAGUCAAAGUGUGUUCAAACAUUGAUUAUCAAGGUGAUAUCUAUCAAAGCAUGAUCUCUAAUAUCCUCAAGCAUCUUUCAAUCUCAUUUGGAUCAAGAGCAACUCAAAGUCUCGUUGCUUAUUUAUCAAGAAAAGUCAAAGGUUCAUGUGUUUAUUUCCUUCUUCAACAAGUUACCUCAAAAUUUGAGAAAUUUAAUCAAGAUGAAUUCAAGGAAACCUUAUUUUGAGUUCAUAUGAUCAUCCAUGUACCUUUAAAUGCAAGAAAGGUCUAAGUACACAAGUUUAUUCCAAGAGGUUUGACUAAAAAGUCAACAUCUGAAGUCAAAGUUCAAAGGAUCACAACUCCUUCAAUUCUCAAUAUUUUUGAAUGCUUUUUUUUUGCAUAUGAUUCUUAUCAUUAUACUUUAAAACUUAUCUUUACAUGACAAAAUCCAAUUAUUCUUGGAGGAUCAUCAAAUGUUUGGAGACAUUAUAAGUCAUUUGUGGACUUGGUGAAAUUUGACCUAUUUUCAAGUGACUUUUUCUCAACUCUCAAGGAUUACAAAUCUUUCAAUUUUUAACAUUUGAGGUUGAUUAUUUUUGCACAAUAUCAUUUUUGAUGCCCUCUACAAGUUUUAUUCAAGGAUAGAAGUAAAACUAUGCUUGGAACGCCAUGGAAUUCUUUGAGACAUUAUAGGUCAUUUUCAUCCAUUUGGGACUUAGAUUUUGCUAAGUUACAUUACCAGAUUUUCGUGCCAACUUCAACGUGUCACAACUUUGUGCUCAAGCAUCCAAAUGAGACCUUUCUUGGAAUAUUGUAAUCUUUUAUAUGAUGCCAACAAAUUGCAAGAAGAAUGGGAUCAAAGAGCCUCCUGAGCAAGAUGCCCCAGUGAGUUAAACAUGGUGACUUAGAACUAAAAAAAUCACCAUGAUCCAAAUUUUGAACUUCACUAAUCUCAAUUGCAAGCCAAGUUACCAUGCAUUUUGGACCUAAACAUGUUCAAUCAAGUCUCCGAAAGUUAAUUGACUCUUAAAACACAUCAUUUGGAUGAGUUUUGAUGGUUUGCAAGUCACACUUUUCUUACAUUCUGAUCAAAUUCGUUUUGCACGAAUUGAGUAUCAUUUCACAUGUAUUUGGAUCCCAACACAUUCCCUGUAAAUAGAGCAACAUGCUUGUUUCAUUCCUAAGCUUUUGAGAGCCAAGAAACCCCUGUUUCACUAUGAAAUUUUUCCAAAAAAUUGAGCUAUGGUGUUUUGAAUUCCAACUUGUUUCAAUCCAAUUUCUUGAUUCCAUUAGCAUCUUCGGUCUUCUAUGAAGCUUUUGCAACAAUUCUCAAGCUCUGAGACCUUCUAAAGUGACCUUCUAAAGUAUCAUUUGGACAAGAUAAUUAUGAGCAUCAUUUAAACUCAAACAAGUUACCACAAUGUAGUCCUCCUCUCUUUGAUACUUUCCCCUAACUUAUCUGGUGUUGAUUGAUCAUGUUCAUUAUUUAAUUUUAUUCUUCGUGGCUUGCUUGUUUAUGAAACUUCUCUGAAAUUCUCCAUACUCAGAUUAGAUAAAUGAAUUUUGGAGCAUGCAGUUGAAUUCGUGGUGAGGAGGCGAUCACAUUGAUGGUAGUCCCGUACUCUGAAUUUGAAAAACGAUGAAACUUCGGUGAGGGAUCAUCAGGGAAGAUGGCCGGAGUUAUCUCAAGUCAUCUGAGUUUUCUUACACGUUGGCAAUUUGAAAUAUUCUGAUUAAUCCAUUUUGAAUUAGAUCUCGUGUUUUAUCUUGUCUAAUGUUCAUCGUGCACCCUAGCCCGAGGAUUGUUGGAUCUGCCACGUCAAUUAAUGAGGCAAGAUCUAACGCUCAGUGUUUUUUCUGAUUUUAUCUCUUUUUAUUUUUUCAUUUUUAAUUGCAUUUUAUUUUAAAAUUCAUAGUAAAUUUAUUUUUCAUACAAAAAAUCGCAAAAUAAUUUCUAAAAUUAUCUUUUAUUUUUCUUCAUCUGAUUUUUAUUUUUCCAUAUUUUAUUUUCUUGAUUUCCUAUUUUUCUCAAAUUUUCUCUUUUCUCAUUUGUUUUAAUUGGUUUAAAAAUACUUUUAGGCAUUUAAAUUUUCUGAAAAAUUUAUUUUAUGUCUCUUAUUUUAUUUCCAACCUUCCAUAAUUUUCUUGGCCAUUUAUUUGGUGUUUUGAAGGGCUUUAUGGAUUUUCUCUUUUAUUUCCCUUUUAAAAUUCAUUUUAAAAAUAUUAUUAAUGCAUUUUCUUUUAUUUUCUUGUAUUUUAUAUUUGUUUGACCUUUGUUUAUUUCUGUUGGCCUUGGAUCAUGGUUGUUUUGAUCAUAGGUUUCAUCAAAUUUAAUGGAUCUCUGGUGUUGAUGGGGUUAAAACCCUAAUUCACCAAAAUGGAUGAUUGAUUUUGAUGAUGACUUGAUCAAUCCUUUGAUCCAAUUUGGGUUUGGCUUAUCUUCUUCUUCUUUAUCCCGUUCUUCUCUUUUUUUUCUUGAUCAAUUGGAUGGUUUGUGUCCAUCUUGUUCAUGAUGUGUGGAUUGAUAUUUGAUGAACUUUCAUCAUUUCAAAUGUACCUCUUAAUUGAUCAUGGAUCAUUUAAGGUAAUUUUUUAUGAUCUUUUUAAUUUUCCUUCAUGAUUUGAGGACGCUUCGGCCAUAAUGUGACCUUCUUUUGCAUAAUGGUAGCAUGUACUUCUACCCUUAUUUUUCUUCUUCUCAUCUUCCUUUGAGGAAUUUAACAACCAUUUGGGAUUGCCAUGAUCCUUCUUUUUGGAUUACUUAUUUCUUUGUUCCCACAUAUAUCUAUUGUACUUUUUGAUAAACAACCUCAUAUCUUCUUCAUUGGAGUCUUCGUUAUCUUUAGUUUCACAAUCACUAAGCUCAUUAUUUGAGGUUUUUUAACUCAAAGUAUUUAGAGCAAUGGACUUUUUCUCUUCCACCUUGUCUUUACCUUUCUUUUUCUUCAUCUUUUUUUCAUACUUUUUUUCCAUGUUGUUCCAAGAAAGUGAGUUCUUGCUCAUGUUCUUCCAAUUUAUCAAACAAAGUAGUAAAAUCAAGUGCUUUAAGAUCAUCCACUUCUUUAAUCAUGAUGACCUUUGGUUGUCAUUCCCUGUUAAGACAUCCUAAAUCUUAGUUAGUAACAAUAGCAUUGAAGAUAAGAUUACCUAGAGCAUUCAAUCUAUUAAUAAGAUAUGUGAAUCUCUUUUGCAUUUCGGAAAUGGUUUCACCAUACUUCAUACGAAAGAGUUCAAACUCUUGGUUUAAUUUGUAGAUUCUAGCUUGUUUGACUUCAUUAGUUCCCUCAUGGGCAACUUCUAAUGCGUCCCACAUAGAUUUAGCGGUUUCACAAUGAGAAACACGAUAAUAAUCAUCAACACCUAAAGCAGAUAUGAGAUUUUUUUUUGCUUUCCAAUCAUGUGACCAUAACUUUCUAUCAUUAUCAUUCCAUUGACCUUCCAGUCUUGGUAUGAUGAAACCUUCACCAUUGGCCAUUGUAAUUUUUUAGGACCAUUGAUGAUGACGUCCCAUACACCCUUAUCAAUGGAGUUGAUAUGGAUAUGCAUACAAGCUUUCCAAUAGCCAUGAUUUUCACUGGUGAAAUAGGUGCUCUAUUAUACGGCCCUUUAGGUUCAGUAGCCAUUAUCUAAUAAGAAAAUCUUAAGACCAAAAAUAAUUGGAGCUCGUGAUAUCACUUGUUAGACGAUAGACCUAGAUCUAGAGGGGGAGAUGAGAGAGAGUACACAAGAUUGCUUAAGCAGUUCCCAAUCGAACUCACUAUGGUAUGUCUGCGCCUCAAUUCAAAUUCGAAUUAAGUAUUAAAUAAUAAUCUACUUUGCAAUGUAUUUGUACAAGAGAUGUGAAAUUAAAUCCAACAAACCUAACUUUAUUUUUGACUCUAGCACCUCCAAAAACCUUGAUCAAAUAUUGAUCAAGACACAACAAUGCCACUUCAAUUCACGCUUGUUGUGCUACUUCUUGGCACCGGCCUCAUUGUCUCAAGGCUUUCACCGCGACUGAAUUAAUCCCAAGAGAAAAACCUUUUAAACCCAAGAUUUGCAACACAAUCCACCGUUUCACGCUACUUCUUGCACAACACACCUAGUCCAAGGAUUUCACUCGAUCUGAUCUGAAUUGCAUAACUUUGUCCAAAAUCUUCAAACCCUAAAUAUCUUGAAGGAAAAAUCCCACAUCGGUUUUUAUAUUUAAUCCUCAAAGAUCUUAACCCAAUAUUCUCGGUACAAUAACCUAAUUAGACGUUCUCAAUCCUAAUCUAAAUAGGCACAAAAUCAAAAAAGAUAAUAUGUAGUUUGAUUGUGUGUAUGCAUAGUUUGAAUUGAAGAUAAUGAGUUGCUUUGAAUCCUGAUUCAUGUAACGUUUUAAUCACUCUAAAAACCUUACUAGAGAAUGAUGGCAUGUACCUAUGUAUAUAUAUAUAUAUAUAUAUAUAUAUAUAUAUAUAUAGUAUAUUAUAAUAUAUUAUAUAUAUAUACUAUAUUAUAUAUUAUAUAUAUAUAUAUAUAUAUACUAUAUAUAUAUAUAUAUAAUAUUAUAUAUAUAUUAUAUAUAUAUAUAUAUAUAUAAUAUAUUAUAUAUUAUGGUCAUUCUGAAGACUCGGCACGGUGAAGNNNNNNNNNNNNNNNNNNNNNNNNNGGGGGGGAUAUAUCCAAGUAAAAUUUAUUUGAUAACCUUUGAAUAAAAAAUCAUAAGUGUGGAAACUAAGUUUCAAAUUAUUUCUAGAUCAAAAAUCGUCCGAACGCGCACCUACUAUUGAAUGAGCUCAGAUAUCGUAAAGUGUCAAAUGGUAUGUUAAAUCCACAAGUUGAUAACAAAUACUUUAAACAACAAAUUAAUACUCCAUUAUGUAAAGGGUAUAUCCCAAUGAAAUAAGAAACAAAAAACAGAGUUGAGACAAUUUUUCAAAACACUUUGCAUGCGAUCAAUAAAUUUGAUUUUAGUAAUAGUGUUGUAUUUUAGACAAUACAAUCACUACAAAUGUAUAUGAAUUACUACAACAAUACAAAUUUAACAAAUGCUUCAAAAAUUAUCAUCCAAACAACUGUUGAUAAGGGAUCAAAGUAAUCAAUAAUUUGCGAAACAAAAAAUAAAAGAUAUAUAUAUAUACUAUAUUAUAUAUAUAUAUAUAUAUAUAUAUAUAUAUAUAUAAUAUAUAAUAUAUAUAUAUAUAUAUAUCAUAUAUAUAAUAUAUAUAUAUAAUAUAUAUAUAUAUCUAUAUAUAUAUAUAUAUAGUAUAUAUAUAUAUAUAAUAUAUAUUAUAUUAUUAUAACGAUACGAGAGAGAGAGAAGAGAGAGAGAGAGAGUACACACACACCCCAUGGCACGCAUUCAUUAUCGUUAGAGCCGUUAGGAAAGAGUACACACACCUCCUCUUCUCUCUCUCCUCUCUUCUCUACCUAACACAGUAUACUAUAAAAUAUAUAUAUAAUAUAGUAAUAUCUAUAUAUAUAUAUCAUAUAUAGCUAUAAUGAUAAUAUAUUACAUAAUAUAGAUAUAUAAUAACUAUGACUAUAUAAUAUAUAUAUAUAAUAUAUAUAUAUAUAUAUUAUAAUUUAUAUAUAUAUAAAAAAUAUCUUUUAUAUUUGUGUUCGCAAAUUAUUGAUACUUUGAUCCCUUUAUCAACAUUGUUGUUUGAUGAAAUUUUUGAUCAUUUGUAAAUUGUAUUGUUGUAGUAUCAUAUACCAUUUGGUAGGAUUGUAUUCUGAAGAAUCUACAAACACUAUACUAGUAAACUCAAACUUUAUUGAUGCGCAAUGCAAAGUGUUUGAAAAAUUGUCUCAACUAGUUUUUUGUUCUUAUUAUUCAUGGGAUAUACCUUUACUAUAAUGGAUAUUAAAUUUGUUGUUUAAGUAUUGUUAAUCAACUUGUGAUUAUAACAUACAUACACAGCCGUUUACGCAUAUCACAUAUAGUAGGUCGGUCGACGAUUUUGAUCUAGGAAAUAUUUGAAACUUGUUUCCACACUAUUAAUUUUCUAAUAUAAAUUUUCAAAUAAAUUUAGGGAUAUAUCCCCCCCCCCCCCCUUAGAUCUAGGUCUAUCGUCUAACAAGUGAUAUCACGAGCUCCAAUUAUUUUGGUCUUAAGAUUUUCUUAUU